rnacentral:rRNA from 1 species
GGUGUAGGCGGUCGGGCAAGUCGGAUGUGAAAGCCCUCGGCUCAACUGAGGAAGUGCAUUCGAAACUGCUCGACUUGAGUAUGGGAGAGGAAGGUGGAAUUCUCGGUGUAGCGGUGACAUGCGUAGAUAUCGGGAGGAACACCGGUGGCGAAGGCGGCCUUCUGGCCCAAUACUGACGCUGAGACCCGAAAGCGUGGGGAGCAAACA